UACGGGGGGGAGCAAGCGUUUGUUCGGAUUUACUGGGCGUAAAGGGCGCGUAGGCGGUCAGUGCAAGUCAGUUGUGAAAUCUCCGAGCUUAACUCGGAAAGGUCAACUGAUACUGCUCGACUAGAGUGCGGAAGGGGCAACUGGAAUUCUUGGUGUAGCGGUGAAAUGCGUAGAUAUCAAGAGGAACACCUGCGGCGAAGGCGGGUUGCUGGGCCGACACGUGACGCUGAUGCGCGAAAGCUAGGGGAGCGAACGGG
rnacentral:rRNA from 1 species